rnacentral:rRNA from 1 species
UACGGGGGGGGCGAGCGUUGUUCGGAAUUACUGGGCGUAAAGGGCGCGUAGGCGGUUCGCUAAGUUGGAUGUGAAAACUCUGGGCUCAACCCAGAGCCUGCAUCCAAAACUGGCGGGCUAGAGUUCUGGAGGGGGUAGCGGAAUUCCUGGUGUAGCGGUGAAAUGCGUAGAUAUCAGGAGGAACACCGGUGGCGAAGGCGGCUCCCUGGACAGAAACUGACGCUGAGGCGCGAAAGCUAGGGGAGCAAACAGG